AGAAUGAAAUGACUCUCGACAACAAAUAUCUUGGCUCUCGCAUCGAUGAAGAACGUAACAAAAUGUGAUACUUGGUGUGAAUUGUAGAAUCCCAUAAACCAUCGAGUCAUUGAACGCAAGUUGCACCCCAAGCCAUUAGGCCGAAGGGACACCUGCCUGGGUGUCAUGCACCGUCGCCCCCCUCUAACCCUUGGCCCAUUGGGCUUUGGGGGAAAGGGGCGGGUGGAAAAUGGCCUCCCAUGAUCCUGUCGAUCGUAAUUGGCCCAAAAGUGAGUCCUCGACAAUGAUAGCACUGUGACCGUCGGUGGUACAGCUCUCGGCAUGCCUCGUCCCCGGUGACGUGCACUCGUUGUCCACCCAAACCUCGUUGGACCCCCCGUAUCACUCGAUCGAUGCUUGCGUUGUGACCCCAAGUCAGGCGGGAUCACUUGUUAAGUUUAAGCAUAUCAAUAAGCAGAGGAAAAGAAACUUACCAAGAUUCCCCUAGUAACGACGAGUGAAUCGGGAAGAGCCCAGCUUGAGAAUUGGGUGACCCCGAUGUCCGAAUUGUAGUCUGGAGAAUCGUCUUUAGUGGUGGACUAGGCCCAAGUCCCCUGGAAAGGGGCACCGAAGAGGGUGAGAGCCCUGUUGUGCCUGAACCCUGUAGCACCACAAGGCACUGUCCGUGAGUCGGGUUGUUUGGGAAUACAGCCCCAAUCAGGCAAUAAAUUCCAUCCUAGGUUGAAUACGGGUAAGAGAUCGAUAGCCAACAAGUAUUACAAGGGAAAGAUGAAAAGGACUUUGAAAAGAGAGUUAAAGAGUGCUUGAAAUUGUCGAGAGGGAAGUGGAUGAGGCUAACGAUACAACUCGAUCGGAUGUGGAAUGGCGAGAGCUGGUCUACCGAUCGGCUCGGAGAGUGGACCGAUAUAGGAUCACCAUGAUGUGAAAUGUAGCAUGUUUCUUCUCGAUAUACCUCGACACCCACGUGCUCUCGGCAUCGACCUACGAGUUCCCUAUCCGACUCGUCUUGAAACAAGGACCAAGGAGUUUGACAUGCAUGUGAGUCAAUGGGCCAAAAAACCAGUAAGGCAUAAGGAAGCUAAUUGGCGGGAUCCCUUAUGGGUGUACCAUCGAUCGACCUUGAUCUUCUGAAAAGGGUUUAAGUGCGAGCAUGCCCGUCGGGACCCAAAAGAUGGUGAACUAUGCUUGAGUGGGCUGAAGCCAGAGGAAACUCUGGUGGAGGCCCGCAGUGACAUUGACGUGCAAAUCAUUCGUCUGACUUAGGUAUAGGGGUGAAUGACUAAUUGAACCAUCUAGUAGCUGGUUCCCUUUAAAGUUUCCCUCAGGAUAGCUAGAGCCCUCGAUGAGUUUUAUCGAGUAAAGCCAAUGAUUAAAGGCAUCGGAGGUGCAAUGCCCUCGACCUAUUAUCAAACUUUAAAUAGGUAGGAUGGUACGACUGCUUCGUUAAGCCGUGCCAUGAAAUCGAGAGCUCCAAGUGGCCCAUUUUUGGUAAGCAAAACUGGCGAUGCGGGAUGAACCAAAAGUCGGGUUAUGGUGCCCAACUGUGUGCUAACCCAGAACCCACAAAAGGUGUUGGUCAAUUAAGACAGCAGGACGGUGGUCAUAGAAGUCGAAAUCUGUUAAAGAGUGUGUAACAACUCACUUGCUGAAUCAACUAGCCUAAAAAAUGGAUGGUGCUUAAGUGCGUGACCUAUACUCGACCGUCGAGGCAAGGGCCAGGCCCCGAUGAGUAAGAGGGCAUGACAGUCACUGUAAAACUUAGGGCAUGAGCCCGAGCAGAGCGACCAUCGGUGCAGAUCUUGGUGGUAGUAGCAAAUAUUCAAAUGAGAACUUUGAAGGCUGAAGAGGGGAAAGGUUCCAUGUGAACGGCACCUGCACAUGGGUUAGUCAAUCCUAAGAGAGGGGGGAAGCUUGUCCGACAGCACAUCCUGCGUGAGCUUCGAAAGGGAAUCGGGUUAAAAUUUUUGAAUCGGGACGCGAUGAUUGAUGGCAACAUUAGGGAGUCUAGAGACGUCAGUGGUGGCCUUGGGAAGAGUUAUCUUUUCUAUUUAACGGCUUGCUCGCCUUGGAAAUGGCUCAGCCAGAGCUAGGGUCCAAUGGUCGGAAGAGCACCGUACGUCGCAUGGUGUUUGGUGUGCCCCCAACGGCCCUUGAAAAUCAGAAGGACCAAGUGUCGUCUGUGUCCGAUCAUACUCAUAACUAUAUUAGAUCUCUAAGGUAAAUAGCCUCUGGUCGAUGGAACAAUGUAGGUAAUGAAAGUUGGCAAAAUGGAUCCAUAACUAUGGGAAAAGAAUUGCUCUGAGGGCUGGGCACAGGGGUCCCCGUCCCGAACCCAUCGACUAUCGAUGCACUGCUCAAGCUACUCCCACAGUGAGAGUGGGUCGCUGUGUGCCGACCGAGGGACGGACUGGGAAUGGCUGCCUUGGGGGCCUUUCUCGGGUGAUGAAUAGUUGAUUCAAAAUUGGUACGAACAAGGGGAAACUGACUGUUUAAUUAAAACAAAGCAUUGCGAUGGUCCUUGCGAAUGCUCACGCAAUGUGAUUUUUGCCCAGUGCUCUGAAUGUCAAAGUGAAGAAAUUCAACCAAGCACGGGUAAACGGUGGGAGUAACUAUGACUCUGUUAAGGUAGCCAAAUGCCUCAUCAUCUAAUUAAUGAUGCGCAUGAAUGGAUUAAUGAGAUUCACACUGUCCCUGUCUACUAUCCAGUGAAACCACAGCCAAGGGAAUGGGCUUGGUAGAAGGAAAGAAGACCUUGUUGAGCUUGACUCUAGUCCGACUUUGUGAAAAUUACUUGAGAGGUGUAGUAUAAGUGGGAGCCCCUGGGUGAAAUUGAAAUACCACUACUUUUCACAUUAUUUUACUUAUUCUGCGAAUCGAAGGUGGAGCAUGACCCCUUUUUUUGGACCUAAGGCCAGCCUCGAUCGGUCGAUCUAGGUGGAAGACAUUGUCAGGUGGAGAGUUUGGCUAGGGUGUCAUAUCUGUUAAAAGAUAACGUAGUUGUCCUAAGAUGAGCUCAACAAGAACAAAAAUCUCAUGUGGAAGAAAAGGGUAAAAGCUCAUUUGUUUCUGAUUUCCACUAUGAAUACGAACUGUGAAGACGUGGCCUAUCGAUCUUUUAGACCUUCAAGAUUUAAAGCUAGAGGUGUCAAAAAAGUUACCACAGGGAUAAUUGGCUUGUGGCAGCCAAGCAUUCAUAGCGACGUCACUUUUUGAUCCUUCAAUGUCGGCUUUUCCUAUCAUUGUGAAGCAAAAUUCACUAAGUGUUGGAUUGUUCACCCACCAAUAGGAAACGUGAGCUGGGUUUAGACCAUCGUGAGACAAGUUAGUUUUACCCUACUAAUGAUGGCAUCACGAUAGUAAUUCAACCUAGUACAAGAAGAACCGUUGAUUCAUAAAAUUGGUCAUCGCACUUAGUUGAAGAGCCAGUGGCUUAAAGCUACCAUGCGUUGGAUUAUGACUAAACGCCUCUAAGUUAGAAUCCUAGCUAGAAGUGACACGCGUGCCCGCCACUCGAUUGUCGACCAGCAAUAAGGGCCCAUGGCCCACAAGGCCACGUGUCGUAGGUGCAACCCCCACAGCAGAUGAGCUACACGAGCCUCCUUAGAGCUCAAUUCCCAUCGAG
rnacentral:rRNA from 1 species